UAGGGAUGGACGUUCUAAGAACUUGGAUUCCAGAAGUGCUGCUCCUCUGCAAUACAAAACUACUGACUACUCCUCUUCUAGACAUCCAUCCCGCAGCUCGUCCCCCAGAAGGGGUACAGACAGCAGAAGUUCCUCUCCAAGACGAGGUCUGGAGCAACGCUCUGCUUUGUCCCGUAGCCCUUCUCCUUUAAGAGGUAGUAGUGCCAGGCUGAGCUCCUCCCAGAGCUCCUUGGAGUCCGAGUCUAGCUGGGUCUCUACUGGGUCUGCUUUGGCUCGACGUGAUUACACCCUACUGGCAGAUCUCCCGAAAGCAAAACGGAUUAGCCAUCGAGAGGCCUUGGGUAAAGAGAAAAGAGAUUUAGGAAAUAAAAGUCGGACUCGCAGUCCUGGAAGAGAAGAAGUAGAAAGACUAUUUCAUUAUGAACACAGGUAUGGUAUCUGAAGCAAUGGGAAACUAAAUCCGGUUUAGCUGCCAUGAACAGAAUAAAACCUUCUCUUAUUUCUCCUCAGAACAGCAGAUCUGGUGGAGGUGUUUGAGUCACUCGAUUCAGGGAUACCACCCAGAAGAACUGACAGAUCUUGGUCUAUUUCUGGAAGUGAGAGGUUGACCCGCACCCAUUCUACCUCCUCAUUGAGUCAGCAGAGGACGAGGAGCCCACCUAGAGAAAGAGAGAGAGAGAAAGAGGACAUUUCUUCUUGGAGGUCCAGUCUGUAUCCCACACAGCCAACCAGCUACAAGGUAAAUGAGGAGUCUAGGAAUCCAUUUAGUGAUGAUAACCCAGCAUGGAAAUCAAACGAGUCACGCAGACAGACAACAACAACCAAGG